GACAGAGGGUGCAAACGUUGCUCGGAAUCACUGGGCGUAAAGGGCGUGUAGGCGGGAAGGAAAGUCAGACGUGAAAUCCCCAGGCUCAACCUGGGAACUGCAUUUGAAACUCCCUUUCUUGAGUACCGGAGAGGAAAGUGGAAUUCCUGGUGUAGAGGUGAAAUUCGUAGAUAUCAGGAGGAACACCAGUGGCGAAGGCGGCUUUCUGGACGGUAACUGACGCUGAGACGCGAAAGCGUGGGGAGCAAACAGG
rnacentral:rRNA from 1 species